rnacentral:tRNA from 1 species
AGAAUAGUAUUUAAAAUCAAUAAAAGCUAAUUUGCAUUUAGCCAUUGCUUUCUUGCCUAUUCUA